GAUGAAGAACGUAGCGAAAUGCGAUAAGUAAUGUGAAUUGCAGAAUUCAGUGAAUCAUCGAAUCUUUGAACGCACAUUGCGCCCGCCAGUAUUCUGGCGGGCAUGCCUGUUCGAGCGUCAUUUCAACCACCAAGCCCCAGGCUUGUGUUGGGGACCUGCGGCUGCCGCAGGCCCUGAAAACCAGUGGCGGGCUCGCUGUCACACCGGGCGUAGUAGAUUUUAUCUCGCUCAGGGCGUGCUGCGGGUCCCGGCCGUUAAAAGCCUUUUUUUACCCAAGGUUGACCUCGGAUCAGGUAGGAAGACCCGCUGAACUUAAGCAUAUCAAUAAGCGGAGGA
rnacentral:misc_RNA from 1 species